AUGAGGAUACAAAAACACGAUUUCGUUUUAAUAGAUGAUGAACUAAAAUGCAGAUUAAUAAAAAUUGUUGACGCUAAAAUAAAGAUAAAAGGAAAUUUUAUAAAUUUACUAUUUCUUGUUAAUAAGAAAUAUGGUUCUACCUUUACUUAUAUGAAUAAAAAAUGGAUAAGAAGUGCAAAAAAAAAAUCAAGGCUAGAAAUAGAGCAAAAUGAAGAUAUAAAAGAAACAAAUGAACAUAUUGCUUAUAAUAGUAAUUCGCAAAUGCUUACAGAAGAAAAUAUUUUAAAAUUAAAAGAAGAAAAUCCCGAAAAUCCUUAUGAUGUUAUACAAAAACUUGUAGAUAAUUCAACAUCUUAUAAUGAAAAAACAGUUAUAUCAAAAUUUAAAUAUGUCCAAAAAAAAAUAAAAAGACAUUUUUGUCAAUUUACUGUAUAUGAAUGUUCUAUCCUUAACUUAAUAAAUUUUUAUUAUAAAAUACAUCCUGAGAAAGUUUCGAAUGUACGUGCUGAUUAUUUAGCAAAUAUAAUUUUCCAUUUAAAUAGGGAUUUGUAUUACAAGAAUGAAAAAGAAGAAGAAGAUGAUGAUGAUGAUGAUAAAAAGCAAAAUGAUAAAAUAGAAAAAAAUGUAUAUGAAAAAGAUGACAAUAGCUUACUCGGUAAUACUCACAUAAUAAAUAAAAAUAACGAAGUAGAUAAUAAACAUGAAGAAUAUUAUAAUGUAGAAGUAAAAAGUGAUAAAGAAAAAAAAUAUAUAGGUGAUAAUAUAUUAGAAGAAGUAAAUGUAGAUGAUGACAUAUUUUUUAAACGUAAUAUUUUAAUUUAUGAUGAUUCACAAGGACUUUUAUCAGGUGUCAUUAACAUUAUUUAUAAAAAUAAUGUUAAUAUAUUUUCUUUAAUUUAUAAAAAUUAUUGUAAUACAAUUACGUCCAGUUUUGGAGUUAAAAAAUAUUCUAAUGUUGUACACAUAAAUAUAUUAAAUUCAAAUAAACAUUCACAACAGAAAAAAUAUAUACAGCUUAAUAGUGAUUUCAAUUUCGUUUAUCCUUCUGGUGAAGUAGCACACAAUAAUGUAGAAGAAAGUGUAGGAGAUAAAUGUAUAGUAAAAACAGCAGAUACAGAUUUGCAAAAAAUAAAAGCUAAGUUAUACCCUAACGACAAAACGGAGAGUAAUGUAUCUAUUAGCUCUAAUAAUGUUAAUAACAAAGAUGAGAAAAACAAACUUCCAGGAGAAUAUUCAACUAGCUAUCCAUUGGAUUAUUUACCAGAAAAUGACAAAAGUAGUUGUAAUAAUAAUAUCAACUAUAACAAUACAGCUGAACAGACUGUAAUGAAUUUAGAUAUUCCAAUGACAAAUACAGACGAUGUAUUGACAACCACAAACUGUACUACUUUCGAUGGAUGUACCGAAACAACAAAAAAAAGAAAAAUGGGACACAAUGAAGAUUAUACUAGUAAUAAUAUGACUAGUAAUAACACAAAAAGAAACAAUAAUGAUAGUAAAAGUGAUAGUAAUAAUAAUUAUGUAAACUUUAAUACAUCAACUAUUAUAGAUAUAAAUAACAUGGAAAAAGAAUUAAUAUAUGACAUAUGUACAAAAAAGGCAGAAGCAUUUGUUAUAAUAAUUUCAAGUGAUUUUUUAUAUAAAACUAAAACAAAUGUGUACAUAUUAGUUGAUACAUUAAUAAAAAUAUCAUUAAAAUAUUUAAAUAAUGAUAGUAAAAUAAUUAUACAAACAGAUGAUUUUAAUAUAUCUAAUUUGUUUAUCAAAUUUUUAAUACAUACGAAUUCUUUUAUAAACAUUAAAUUAAAUGAAUAUAUUUUAAGAGAACAACAGAUUGUUAAAAGAAGAACACACCCUGUAAUUAAAAACUCAAAAUUAGCUGAUGGGUUUUUAUUAACUGCUUUGAAAGUUUUAAGUUAG
ensembl:lncRNA